AUGGACCAUUCCAUCCCUUUUUACCGCGCAUAUGCAUCGGACUCGGAUGACGAUGGUCCCGACAAACAAGUUGAUGUAGAGGGGUUCACGGUGAAGGAGGCCGAAGCUUUCGAGAAGGUAUUCGGUCGGGAUCAUCGGACUACAUUGUUCAAGGAUGUUAGUCUCGGGGAUGAAGCCAUGGUAUAUGGUGGCCAAUGUAUAUCUGUUGGGGUUAGGCCAAGCUCUCAC
rnacentral:rRNA from 1 species